rnacentral:rRNA from 1 species
CCGAGUUUACAACUCCCAAACCCCUGUGAACAUACCAAUUGUUGCCUCGGCGGAUCAGCCCGCUCCCGGUAAAACGGGACGGCCCGCCAGAGGACCCCUAAACUCUGUUUCUAUAUGUAACUUCUGAGUAAAACCAUAAAUAAAUCAAAACUUUCAACAACGGAUCUCUUGGUUCUGGCAUCGAUGAAGAACGCAGCAAAAUGCGAUAAGUAAUGUGAAUUGCAGAAUUCAGUGAAUCAUGCAAUCUUUGAACGCACAUUGCGCCCGCCAGUAUUCUGGCGGGCAUGCCUGUUCGAGCGUCAUUUCAACCCUCAAGCCCCCGGGUUUGGUGUUGGGGAUCGGCGAGCCUCACGGCAAGCCGGCCCCGAAAUACAGUGGCGGUCUCGCUGCAGCUUCCAUUGCGUAGUAGUAAAACCCUCGCAACUGGUACGCGGCGCGGCCAAGCCGUUAAACCCCCAACUUCUGAAUGUUGACCUCGGAUCAGGUAGGAAUACCCGCUGAACUUAAGCAUAUCAAUAAGCGGAGGA